AACGGCCGCGGUAUCCUAACCGUGCGAAGGUAGCGUAAUCACUUGUUCUUUAAAUGAGGACUAGUAUGAAUGGCACCACGAGGGUUAAGCUGUCUCCUUUUUCUAAUCAGUGAAACUAAUCUCCCCGUGAAGAAGCGGGGAUCACCCUAUAAGACGAGAAGACCCUAUGGAGCUUAAAACAAAUUAACACCUGCUUCUACCCAUUCUCCUUCCUGAAUUAGCACAUAAAAUAUAGCACUCUUGAUUAAUAGUUUUCGAUUGGGGUGAUCAUGGAGCAAAAACCAACCUCCACGACGAAAAGGAGCACUUCCCUGAGCUAAAAGCUACAACUUUAAGCACUAAAAAAUUAACGCACUUUGACCCAAAUUUUUGAGCAACGAACCAAGUUACCCUAGGGAUAACAGCGCAAUCCAUUUCAAGAGCCCCUAUCGACAAAUGGGUUUACGACCUCGAUGUUGGAUCAGGGUAUCCCAGUGGUGCAGCCGCUACUAACGGUUCGUUUGUUCAACGAUUAAAACCCUACGUGAUCUGAGUUCAGACCGGAGAAAUCCAGGUCAGUUUCUAUCUAUAAAGGGCUUUUUCUAGUACGAAAGGACCGAAAAAGCAUGGCCAAUGACCAAUUAAGCCAUACAAAUUACUUAUGUUUCCAACUUAAUUAAAAAUAAACCUACCACAAGUCUCAAAAAAAGAGAAGUUAACGUAGCAAAACCUGGCCCUGCAA
rnacentral:rRNA from 1 species